CAGCCAUCGUGUAUAGACGUGUGAUCACCUGACCCUGAAAUUUCGUUUUCAUUGUGCCAAGGACAACUUUGAUUGCCUAUCCAUAUUUCUGUUAUAGAAAACAGGUAUAAGAUAGAAUUUGGAAUAAUGCACAUAAGAGACAUCUCCAAUGAAGUCCAAAGGAAAACUGGUUUAUUACCAUCACAAGGGGGACCCUGGUAAACUGAAGCGAUGAGUCACCAACUUAUGCUUCGUCGUCACUGCUUUCGACAUCCCUCUGCGUAUUCACUCCUCAAGCGAUUCCAUAUCAGUGACUUGGGUCAGUUGAAGUGCGUAGAGGAAAAACGAAUUGUCGACCUUACAGCUACUCCUGCACCAGUGUCUAAGCCUGUGGAUGUCGGACCUCAUGGGAAGCCAAAUUCCAAUGUCAUAUGAGCCAGCGACCCCCCUGGAAAGCAAACUAGUUCAGAUUCCAGUGUUCCAGUGCGUGGACGGAGGCCCUCCUUACAAAGCACAAUUCCAGCGCCUUAUAAGACUGUGACCGCCUGGAAAG